rnacentral:piRNA from 1 species
UCCAAAGAGUUAGUGUGUUGUUUGAGC